rnacentral:rRNA from 1 species
GAUGAACGCUGGCGGCGUGCUUAACACAUGCAAGUCGAACGGAAAGGCCCAAGCUUGCUUGGGUACUCGAGUGGCGAACGGGUGAGUAACACGUGGGUGAUCUGCCCUGCACUUCGGGAUAAGCCUGGGAAACUGGGUCUAAUACCGGAUAGGACGAUGGUUUGGAUGCCAUUGUGGAAAGUUUUUUCGGUGUGGGAUGAGCUCGCGGCCUAUCAGCUUGUUGGUGGGGUAAUGGCCUACCAAGGCGUCGACGGGUAGCCGGCCUGAGAGGGUGUACGGCCACAUUGGGACUGAGAUACGGCCCAGACUCCUACGGGGGGCAGCAGUGGGGAAUAUUGCACAAUGGGCGCAAGCCUGAUGCAGCGACGCCGCGUGGGGGAUGACGGCCUUCGGGUUGUAAACUCCUUUCGCUAGGGACGAAGCGUUUUUGUGACGGUAACUGGAGAAGAAGCACCGGCUAACUACGUG